CAUAACAUUAUCAGGUUUGACAUCUAAAAAGGGGAACUUGGUUAGUAUCUGGAUCUGAUGAGCAGGUUGAUGCAUUACCAAUAUGUAUCCAGUUCUUGGCAUGAAACUCCUUUAACGCCUGUCCAAGUUCCCACAAUAUCUGUUUCCGAGGCGCAAUUGACAUGUUCAGGUUGUUCUUCACAAGAGAAAGCAAAUUAUCACUAAAGUGAUUGUAGAUAAGGAUUUGUUCAGCUUCAUUACCAUCAUCAUGCAUUCGAAGACGACGCGUUUCUGGGAACUCUUGUUUAAGUUCCAGUGAUUGUUCGAAGAUUGAAGGGGAUACAUGUUUUAGCACAAAGGAUUGGUUU
rnacentral:sRNA from 1 species